GAUGAACGCUGGCGGCGUGCCUAAUACAUGCAAGUCGAGCGAACGGACGAGAAGCUUGCUUCUCUGAUGUUAGCGGCGGACGGGUGAGUAACACGUGGAUAACCUACCUAUAAGACUGGGAUAACUUCGGGAAACCGGAGCUAAUACCGGAUAAUAUUUUGAACCGCAUGGUUCAAAAGUGAAAGACGGUCUUGCUGUCACUUAUAGAUGGAUCCGCGCUGCAUUAGCUAGUUGGUAAGGUAACGGCUUACCAAGGCAACGAUGCAUAGCCGACCUGAGAGGGUGAUCGGCCACACUGGAACUGAGACACGGUACAGACUCCUACGGGAGGCAGCAGUAGGGAAUCUUCCGCAAUGGGCGAAAGCCUGACGGAGCAACGCCGCGUGAGUGAUGAAGGUCUUCGGAUCGUAAAACUCUGUUAUUAGGGAAGAACAUAUGUGUAAGUAACUGUGCACAUCUUGACGGUACCUAAUCAGAAAGCCACGGCUAACUAC
rnacentral:rRNA from 1 species